CGAUUGCUGAGGAGUCCCACAAUAGGACGAAACGGCCGUCCAGUAC
rnacentral:hammerhead_ribozyme from 1 species